GGGAGUUUAAAGGGCCCGCAGCUGCAGGAGGUGCACCGGGAGCGGCAAACGGGGCGGGGGCACCGGUCGCUUGAGUUGGGAUCGCCGGCUUACAGAGACACGUGACUGGAUUUAGGGACCACCCCAAUCCAGGAUGGCCUUAUCUCGAAACCUUGCCAAACUUCUAUCUGCAAAGACCUUUAUUCCAAAUAAGGUCACAUUCUGAGGUUUCCAGGAGACGCAGCUUUUGGAAGACACCACUCAACCCCCUGCACUUAGGUCUGGGAAUGGCCAAGCAAUACCCGACACUGGGCAGUGGACACAGGAGCACCCACAGCGCCUUUCCGGAGGGGGCCUGCUGGUCGACCUGGCAGAAGCCCAUCGUCCACUCUGCAUUGGAGAGGGCAGAGGUUUCCGAUGGAGAAAGUUUCUGAGAAUGACUGAAAACUUUUUUCUCUUUCAGAUAAAGUUUUAGUAUUGUAUUUAGAAUCUUUGAAAGAAAACUACUAUUUGCUUUUCUUA